CCAAAUAUUACCUGAGGAAUCUUAUGAAAAUACAGAUUGUGAUUCUAGAGGUCUGGGGCAAGGCCUGGGAUUCUGCAUUUCUAAUGAGUUCCCAGGGGAUGCCUAU
rnacentral:pre_miRNA from 1 species